rnacentral:rRNA from 1 species
CACGUAGGAGGCGAGCGUUGUCCGGAAUCAUUGGGCGUAAAGAGCGCGCAGGCGGCUUGGCAAGUCGGGUGUGAAAUCCCGCGGCUCAACUGCGGGUCUGCAGUCGAUACGGGCAGGCUAGAGUUCGGUAGGGGAGACUGGAAUUCCUGGUGUAGCGGUGAAAUGCGCAGAUAUCAGGAGGAACACCGGUGGCGAAGGCGGGUCUCUGGGCCGAUACUGACGCUGAGGAGCGAAAGCGUGGGGAGCGAACAGG